ensembl:lncRNA
CAGGAGGACUGUUGAGAAUUUGAGGCCAAUCUAGGCUACAUAGUGAGUUCAAGGCCAGCCAGAACUACACAGCAAGACUCUGUCUCAAAAACUCAAAACCAAAAAAAAAAAAGAAAAAAAAGAAAAGAAAACCAGAAAAAGGUAUGAGCACUCAGUCUGAGGCAUGGUUUUGUUGUGAUGUGCUGACUUUGCCAGAGGGCCAAAUCAGAGGGACUGCCUGAUUUUGAACUUGGACCUCCAGAACACCCUUGGUGGGAUGUUUCCUUUGAAGUCUCCCACCUCACUGCCUCCCAGGAUGAACAUGACCUAAGCCAGCCUAUACUCUGUCAAGGCCAGAGCAAGGCCACACUCCACAGCCCAUGACCGAGGCAGGGAGGAGUCAAGGCCACAUGACAGAUUUUCCUUUGUGCAAAGUCUGCUGGCCUUUUGGGGACCGAUCCUUGACGUCAUCAGCACCAGCAAGUGUGGCCAAGUGGACCUACCCACUCAGACCAUAGCGACCAUGACAUAACCACUGACAUUUCACAACUUUUUGAACGCUCCAGGAAGCUGGCAAGGUUCCUGUGGUUCCCACCAGUCAAGGAGCAGUGAUUAUUUUACUUCUUGCCUGAAGCUGUUAUAACAGGACCAAGUGAAUGCACUGCAGCAGUUUGCUUCCUGUACCAUGGACCAAGCAUGUGGGAUCCUCACCACCUUUUUUCCUGAGUCACAGAGAGGCCACACAGAAGAGUUCUCCUAACUUCUUAAUUUCAAUCCAUGAUCUACAGCUUCAAGUUUUUAUUUCCCACGUCCUACCGUGCCCAUCUUUUGAGACUUUAAUUGAGUGACAUAAUUGAAUUUAUAUUUCAAGAAACCUCCCCUGAAGAGGAAUAUACCACCAAAAUACUAAAAUUUUUGCAAUAAGAAAAUGACUAAGACAUGGGCCAUGUGAUGGAAUAAUGAAUGGUGCUGAGAAGAGGCUGUGACAAUAGAUUCUUCAUUCUACAAACUGCCAGUGUGGGGAGCUUUACAGGAUGUAGCAGAUGGUGCCAUACUGUAGAUAUCCCAUCACUG